AAAAGUGUUUCCGGGGUUCACUCCAGGAGAAUCAUUGCAGUGUUUCGUUUAUUACUCUGAGCUCUGAAAAACUGUUGUAGCCCUGAUACGGAUUUGGGUUUCUAAAUCUGCCUUUUCCUUUUUGUGAUUAUGGCCGGGAAGGUUAUGCAAGCUGUCCGUUAUGAGGCUUAUGGUGGUGGAUCCGCUGGUUUGAAGGGUACCAUCAAAUUCGGGUGCAUGCUCAAGAUGUACACAUGACUUCAUUUCACACACACGAGGGUCAUUACGAAUUUUUGGUGAUCCCUUUUUUUCUCAUUAAUGUGCCCUCUACUUUCCAAUCCUUAAUGAAUGAGAUUUUUUGCC